CCUUCUAAUCUUUUUCAAGCACCUGUGGAGAACAACUCAACAGUAUGGGGACUAGAACUGUUCCUGACUACCUUGAGCACAGAACUCUGCAGAAAUUCUUUUGGUUGGAUAUAGUGGAUCUGGGACAAGCACUAUAUUUAAGCAGGCAAAGAUCCUCUAUAAGGAUAUACCUUUCUCAGAGGAUGAGCGUGAAAAUAUCAAGUUGAAAAUCCAGACCAAUGUGUAUGGCUAUCUUGGUAUACUCCUUGAGGGCCGUGAACGUUUUGAAGAAGAAUUUCUGAAUGACAUUGGGAAAA